GCGCCCGUAGCUCAACUGGACAGAGUGCUAGGUUUCGGCCCUAGAGGUUGCGGGUUCAACUCCUGCCGGGCGCGCCA
rnacentral:tRNA from 1 species